UAAUUUCCUAAAUUUAUUCCCUCUUUUUCUUCUCCAGUUGCCGAAGCAGCAACAGGAAGAGUUUAGUGGUGGGCACCCCCUCUCCGACCCUCUCACGGCCUCUCUCCCCUCUCUCCGUGCCAACAGCUGGGAGCAGCCCCUUGGACAGCCCACGGAACUUCUCUGCCAGCACCUCCAUCAACUUCCCCUUCGCUCGCAGCCAUGCUCCUCGGACUGACAGGCAAG